ensembl:lncRNA
ACUCGUAGCUGUGCGGGACUGGUAGCAGGACGGAUCACCAACUUUUGGAGUUUCCCACGGGUGUCUGGAGCACUUCUGAGAUCUGAAACACGGAUUCGGGAUCACUGUACUGCCCCGGGCCUCCAGGUCCCAGUUUGUGUAUCGCCUGAGGCAGUCCUGCGGCCUCUGGAACAAAGAUCAUUGGGAUUCCACCCUGCCUCGCUCUCUGGCACAGCCUGUCCACCAGACCUGCGGAUGUCCGAUCCUGGGUCAUCUGCCUUACCCGCUUGUUCCCUGGCUUCGAACAGAACGGAUGACUUUGCCUCAGGCAUGCUAACCUUCUCCUCCAGAAGCCCACAAUUCGUAUGGGGUGAGAAUUCAUAUGGAAUGACAGAGUUUUCUUGAGUAAUUGAGCAGAGUUUCCUCUGACUUUCCUACAGAAGGACAGGAGGAAGAGAACGGAGCUAAAGCAAUAUCUGAAACAAUUAUGGCUGAGAAAUUUCCAAAAGUGAUAGAAGACUUCAAGCCACAGAUCCAAGAAAUGCUAUGGAUUCCCAUGAAGACAAAUACAAAACAUUUAGAGCCCACCAAACAUGGUAUGGUCUAAGGUCUAAAGGGGUAUUUCACAAUAAGGAAGUGUGGGCCCAACUUUGCAUCUCUUCAUUGUGGGGCCUGUGAGUGAGGGAGAGGAAGAAGCAGCAAUCAUGGAGCAGGGCUAUAGCAUGGCUGCUGAUGGGGGAUAAUUAGGAGGGAAUGAAGGUAGCCUCAGAGGCUCAUUGAUCCCCUCAAACAUUGCUUGAAGACCUGUAACUCAAGAUUUGGCAGAAAAAUGGCUAAGAGUUUGCCUUCCCUUUUAUGAAGGAAAAAAAUAGCUAUAGUAAUUCUUACUUACAACUACUUAUACAAAGGGACAGAAAACCCAACUCAGUGGGUAUAGACCAUGAAGAGAUUUUGUUUUAUGUAAGUGCAAAGUCUGGCAGCAGCAAGCCUUACAGGUGUGGGUUGAUCUAACCAUUCAGGUGUCAAAAUCAAGGAUCUGCUUUCAUUCUGGCUCUCUGUUCUGCUUUACUUGGUGUUGGCAUAAUCUCUAAGCUCUACAAUGUAAUCCAGAACCAGGUCAGAGGCCUGCAGAAGGGAGGAGCACAUACAAAAGCACAUGGGCUGAAAUUGUUGUACUUAAUCACACGCUGUGGCUCGUGAAGACUUAGUGUCCCCUAUGUGGCUCUGGAAACAUGAAACUUGUAGAAACAGAGAUAAGAGUGGUUGUUUUCAGGGGACAGGGGGAGAUGUUUAAAGGGUACAAACUUUCAGUUUUCAGAUGAAUAAGUUCUGAGGAUCUAGUGUACAGCAUGGUGAGGCUAGUUAAUGUAGGGGAGGAAGACAUUUCCUCUUCCCAAAUGUGGGUUCGUCUGGCCGGAGAACGAAUUAAAUUCACCUGAGACAGAAUAGCAAGAGAAAAUUAAACAAAGCUUAAUGAGGAACCAUGGCCCGGGGCCUUUCUUCCCGAAGGAAGAAAGGGCACCGAAGAAGUGGGGUGCACAGAGUGGUUAUAUAUCCCCAAACAGGGUGUUUCACGUAUGAUUGAAAUGUCCCUUUUACAACAGUCACGAGCCUGCUCUGUCAGCACAGCCCUUGAUGGAGGCAGAUAGGUCUGCUGUCUCAGUGAACGCUGCGGGGUGGCAGGUGUGUUGCCUCGGGCUGGGGGAUCACAGAUGAGCGCAGCAAUCAGUUCCUUGCCUACAGAGAGGGAGGCACCUUUACAGAUAGAGAUUUACCUUACAGAUGUAAAUGUGUCCUAACAAAGGGCAAGUUCCACUCCUCAGAGCCUCCUUCCCUGUCCCACUUUAUCAAAAGCAAUCAGCCUCAAAUAAUCCUGAUGCCAAAGAGACAUAUCUUGGGGUGGCCAAUUUCAGGUCCCUGCAGUCCCGCCUUUGAAACUAAAAGUUUCACAAUCCAGAAGCUGAGUGGUAGAUUGUUUCAUCUCACUGAACACAUUUCUUAGUCCUGGUAAUAGAUCAGUCCAGUUAAAUUCAUUUUAGAAGGUGGCGACGCAGGAGUGGAACUUGCCCUUUGUUAGGACACAUUUACAUCUGUAAGGUAAAUCUCUAUCUGUAAAGGUGCCUCCCUCUCUGUAGGCAAGGAACUGAUUGCUGCGCUCAUCUGUGAUCCCCCAGCCCGAGGCAACACACCUGCCACCCCGCAGCGUUCACUGAGACAGCAGACCUAUCUGCCUCCAUCAAGGGCUGUGCUGACAGAGCAGGCUCGUGACUGUUGUAAAAGGGACAUUUCAAUCAUACGUGAAACACCCUGUUUGGGGGAUAUAGAACCACUCUGUGCACCCCACUUCUUCGGUGCCCUUUCUUCCUUCGGGAAGAAAGGCCCCGGGCCAUGGCUCCUCAUAAAGCUUUGUUUAAUUUUCUCUUGCUAUUCUGUCUCAGGUGAAUUUAAUUCGUUCUCCGGCCAGACGAACCCACAUUUGGGAAGAGGAAAUGUCUUCCUCCCCUACAUUAACUAGCCUCACCGUGCUGUACACUAGAUCCUCAGAACUUAUUCAUCUGAAAACUGAAAGUUUGUACCCUUUAAACAUCUCCC